rnacentral:rRNA from 1 species
GGUCAAGCUACAAAGGGCGCAUGGUGAAUGCCUUGGCAUCAGGAGCCGAUGAAGGACGCGAUAAGCUGCGAUAAGCUUCGGGUAGGCGCACAUAGCCAGAGAUCCGAAGAUUUCCGAAUGAGGAAACUCACAUGGGAAACACCAUGUAUCAUAAAGUGAAUACAUAGCUUUAUGAAGGUAUACCCAGGGAACUGAAACAUCUAAGUACCUGGAGGAAGAGAAAGAAAAAUCGAUUUUCUUAGUAGCGGCGAGCGAAAAGGAAAGAGCCCAAACCAGAGAUUUAUCUCUGGGGUUGCGGACAGAACAUAACGAGAAAUCAUAGUUAAUUGAACACAACUGGAAAGUUGGACCACAGUGGGUAAUAGUCCCGUAAGUGAAAACUAUGAUAAUCAGUUCUGCACCAGAGUACCACGAGACACGUGAAACCUUGUGGGAAGCAGGGAGGACCACCUCCCAAGGCUAAAUACUACCUGAUGACCGAUAGUGAAGCAGUACCGUGAGGGAAAGGUGAAAAGAACCCCGGGAGGGGAGUGAAAUAGAACCUGAAACCAUGUGCCUACAACCGAUCAGAGCACCUUAUGUGUGUGAUGAUGUGCUUUUUGUAGAACGAGCCAACGAGUUACGGUAUGUAGCGAGGUUAAGUACUUAAGGUACGGAGCCGAAGGGAAACCGAGUCUUAAUAGGGCGACUAGUUGCAUGCUGUAGACCCGAAACCGGGUGACCUAUCCAUGGCCAGGUUGAAGCGAGGGUAAAACCUCGUGGAGGACCGAACCACGUUGCUGUUGAAAAAGCAUGGGAUGAGCUGUGGAUAGCGGAGAAAUUCCAAUCGAACUCGGAUAUAGCUGGUUCUCCUCGAAAUAGCUUUAGGGCUAGCGUUGGAAAAUGUGAGUAGUGGAGGUAGAGCACUGAAUAGGCUAGGGGGCAUAGCGCUUACCGAACCUUAUCAAACUCCGAAUGCCACAUACUAUCAGUCCGGCAGUCAGACUAUGAAAGAUAAGUUCCAUGGUCAAAAGGGAAACAGCCCAGAUCGUCAGCUAAGGUCCCAAAGUGUAAGUUAAGUGGAAAAGGAUGUGGGAUUUCUAAGACAACUAGGAUGUUGGCUUAGAAGCAGCCACUCAUUAAAAGAGUGCGUAAUAGCUCACUAGUCAAGAGAUCCUGCGCCGAAAAUGUCCGGGGCUCAAACUUACCACCGAAGCUACGGGUUCACGNNNNNNNNNNNNNNNNNNNNNNNNNNNNNNNNNNNNNNNNNNNNNNNNNNNNNNNNNNNNNNNNNNNNNNNNNNNNNNNNNNNNNNNNNNNNNNNNNNNNCGUGAGCGGUAGAGGAGCGUCGUAAUCGGGCUGAAGUCGUACCGUAAGGAGCGGUGGACUGAUUACGAGUGAGAAUGUUGGCAUUAGUAGCGAGAUGUAGGCGAGAAUCCUACAGGCCGAAUAUCUAAGGUUUCCUGAGUAAAGUUUGUCUUCUCAGGGUUAGUCGGGACCUAAGGCGAGGCCGAAAGGCGUAGUCGAUGGACAAUUGGUUGAUAUUCCAAUACCACUAUAAUCGUUAUUAUCGAUGGUGUGACGGAGAAGGAUAGGAUGUGCUAGCUAUUGGAUGCUAGUCUAAGCGUUUAGGGAGUUGGGAUUGGCAAAUCCGUUCCAACAAUUCUGAGGCGUGAUGGGGAAGGUUCUACGGAACCGAAGUAUCUGAUUCCAUGCUUCCAAGAAAAGCAUCUAGAGAGAGAAGUAGUGCCCGUACCGCAAACCGACACAGGUAGAUGAGGAGAGAAUCCUAAGGCCGACGGAAGAAUUGCAGUUAAGGAACUAGGCAAAUUGACCCCGUAACUUCGGGAGAAGGGGUGCCUGAGAAAUCAGGCCGCAGAGAAUAGGCACAAGCAACUGUUUAACAAAAACACAGGUCUCUGCUAAAGCGAAAGCUGAUGUAUAGGGGCUGACGCCUGCCCGGUGCUGGAAGGUUAAGGGGAACACUUAGCGAAAUAUCGCGAAGGUGUGAACUUAAGCCCCAGUAAACGGCGGCCGUAACUAUAACGGUCCUAAGGUAGCGAAAUUCCUUGUCAGGUAAGUUCUGACCCGCACGAAUGGCGUAAUGACUUGUGCACUGUCUCAACUGCAAAUCCGGCGAAGUUGUAGUGCGAGUGAAGAUGCUCGCUACCCGCGAUUGGACGGAAAGACCCCGUAGAGCUUUACUGUAGCUUAGCAUUGAAUUUCGGUAUUGUCUGUACAGGAUAGGUGGGAGACUGGGAAACUAGGGCGUCAGCCUUGGUGGAGUCGUUGUUGGGAUACCACCCUGAUAGUAUUGAAGUUCUAACUGGAUGCCAUGAAACUGGUGACAGGACAUUGUUAGGUGGGCAGUUUGACUGGGGCGGUCGCCUCCUAAAAUGUAACGGAGGCGCCCAAAGGUUCCCUCAGAACGGUCGGAAAUCGUUCGAAGAGUGUAAAGGCAGAAGGGAGCCUGACUGCGACACCUACAAGUGGAGCAGGGACGAAAGUCGGGCUUAGUGAUCCGGUGGUACCUCGUGGGAGGGCCAUCGCUCAACGGAUAAAAGCUACCUCGGGGAUAACAGGCUGAUCUCCCCCAAGAGUUCACAUCGACGGGGAGGUUUGGCACCUCGAUGUCGGCUCGUCGCAUCCUGGGGCUGAAGUAGGUCCCAAGGGUUGGGCUGUUCGCCCAUUAAAGCGGCACGCGAGCUGGGUUCAGAACGUCGUGAGACAGUUCGGUCCCUAUCCGUCGCGGGCGUAGGAAAUUUGAGAGGAGCUGUCCUUAGUACGAGAGGACCGGGAUGGACUGACCUAUGGUGUACCAGUUGUUUCGCCAGAAGCAUAGCUGGGUAGCUAAGUCGGGAAGGGAUAAACGCUGAAAGCAUCUAAGUGUGAAGCCCACCUCAAGAUGAGAUUUCCCAUAGCAUAAGCUAGUAAGACCCCUUGAAGACUACAAGGUUGAUAGGUCAGAGGUGUAAGU